CCUCAGGGGCCCCUUUCCUGGUCUUGUGACCAUAGAGGGAUGGUUUCUCCUGGGCACUUCUCCCUAUAUGCCUGCUGAGCAGUUCUGGGAUUUGGGUGUCCUGAGUCUAAGCUGGGAGAUGUGGGAGGAAAGAAAAGCUGGUGAACUCAUUGCCACCUCCAUGUUUCUCUGAAUGUUAUCUCUCUCUCCAUCUGCUUGCCGUGGUUUUCUUUCUAGACACCUCUGAUGAUUGCUGCAUGUAUUCUGCCCAGGGUUUUUGGCUGUGAUCACUGGGAGAGAUAGAAGGGACUGUAUUUGCUCCAUCUUACCCAGCUCUGCAAACCUGCUGGAGAGUUUAAUUGGCAUAUGACUUCUAUCCUCAAAGUCACAAGAUGGCUGCUGGAGUUCCAGUCAGGAUGUCUGUACAACGGAGUCUUGCUCUGUCACCCAGACUGGAGUGCAAUGGCACGAUCUUGGCUCACUGUAAGCUCUGCCUCCCGGGUUCACACCAUUCUCCUGCCUCAGCCUCCCAAGUAGCAGGGACUACAGGCAACCGCCACCACGCCUGGCUAAUUGUUUGUAUUUUUAGUAGAGACGGGGUUUCACUGUGUUAGCCAGGAUGGUCUUGAUCUCCUGACCUCGUGAUCCGCCCGUUUUGGCCUCCCAAAGUGCUAGGAUUACAGGUGUUAGCCACUGUGCCUGGCCAGGAAUUAAACUUAAACAAACAAAAACCAACAACAAUGGAGUCUUGCUCUGUUGCCCAGGCUGGAGUGUAGCGAUGCAAUCUCAGCUCACUGCAAUCUCUGCCUCCUGGGUUCAAGCGAUUCUCCUGCCUCAGCCUCCCAAGUAGCUAGGAUUACAGGCGCGCGCCACCAUGCCCAGCUAAUGUUUAUAUUUUUAGUAGAGAUGGGGUUUCACCAUGUUGACCAGGCUGGUCUUGAACUCCUGACCUCAGAUGAUCCACCCACCUCGGCCUCCCAAAGUUCCGGGAUUAGAGGCGAGAGCCACUGUGCCCAGCCUUGAAAUUAAACUAUCAUAGGUGUCUAGGUAUAGGAAAAAAAAAUGUAUAUAUAGGGUUCAGUUCUGUCCUCAGUUUCAGGCAUCCAUUGGGGGUCUUGGAACACAACUCCCCCUUGAAUAAGGGGUCUAUAGUAUUUCAGGCAGAGUGAAGGGGAAGGGCAAGGGGUAAUGGCUCUUUCUUCCAGCUGAAUCAGUUCCCUUGAAAAAGACUUCGCAGAAACCUCACCCUGGGACUUUUGUCUAGAUUCAAGAGAGGCAGCAAAAUGCAGUCUUUUAUCUGAGCACGUUGCAGCCCUGAAUAGAGCCCGAAGUCUGUUAAUUAAGGAAGAAGCAGGGAGUGGAUAUUGGGUAGACCGUUUUGGUGUGUUUGGAGGAACGUCAAGUUCUUAGUCUUGCCAGAGCCUGAGGUGCCAGAGGGCACGCGGUAGGGGGAACGCGGUGCAGCACCCAGCCACUCAGGAAAGGGGAGGCACGGCCAAGACGGGGGCAGGAUGGAAAGUCCAUGGAUGCCGCAGGGUUUAGACCCAGCCUUAAGUGUGAAUCCAUCCCUGGAGUUGGAGUGUCAGGGUAUCUCUUUUCUCUUUUGGCUCCUUUCCUUCUUCCUUCGGUUUUUUUUUUCCUCCCUUCUUCUCCCCUUUAUUCUUCUCCUUCCUUCCCAUUCCACUUCUCUCCUUGCAGGAGCUGCAGGAUUUGGUUUCCAGUCUGAGAUGAAUUGGAAGGUGGGGAGGAGCCCUGUCCUUAGAUAAGGAGGGCCUCGAGGGCAUGCUAGGGAGUGCUGGGGGAAGUUUCCAUCAGUAGGAAAAGCCUGGGAGCCAGGCUAGAGAUAGCCACUCAGAAGAGGUAGGGAAGAAAGAGACAACAUUGGUUCUGGGCAGUAAAGUAACACGAUAAAUGCAGACUUAAGAAAAAUGAGUCUAUUGGAGGCCGGGCGCAGUGGCUCAAGCCUGUAAUCCCAGAACUUUGGAAGGCCAAGGCGGGCGGAUCACAAGGUCAAGAGAUCGAGACCAUCCCGGCUAACAUGGUGAAACCCCGUCUCUACUAAAAAUACAAAAAAUUAGCCAGGCAUGGUGACGGGCACCUGUUGUCCCAGCUACUCGGGAGGCUGAGGCAGGAGAAUUCCUUGAAUUCGGGAGGCGGAGGUUGCAGUGAGCGGAGAUCGCGCCACUGCACUCCAGCCUGGUGACAGAGUGAGACUCUUUCUCAAAAAAAAAAAAAAAAAACAAUGAGACUAUUGGGAAUGAUGCCUUCUCUAAACUGCAUUUACAUUUUACACUCUUGGCUCAG
rnacentral:lncRNA from 10 species